UGUUUUUUUUUUCAACAUACAGAUCUCUUCAGUACAUUUGAAAGCUUCAUGAACUUCCAUUCAAGUCUCAGAGAAGAAUGGUAUAUUACAGCCUGAGAUGUUGAAGAGGAUAGCACCUGAGAAGACUGAAAGGAAUGCACAACGGAUAAGGCAAGGAAACAUCCAUCCUCCAUGCAUGCCUGCAUUGAAUUCUGCAUACUGGGCCAAGAUACCACAAACAACUGAGGCAGUAUCCGCUGAGAAUGAGCUUAACAUCUGUUCAGGAGAGUUUCCAAGAAACAUUAAAGCAUAUCUUUGCAUCUCAGCUGGACAUUUUCACCUGGCUUCCAAGCAUGCUACCCAGUUCAAGAAAUAGUUGGUCCUUAGCCAUUCACUGCAAGAUACACUGCUUACUAGGAAAUCUACCCCAUUUGAACUCUGGAACGAGGUUAAUGGAAACAGGACAAUGCCGUGACGAUAAUGCACGUGAAAAGAAAAAGAGAAAAAAAAUUCAAAGCUGUACGUAGUAAAGUAUACAAGAUUGUUCUUUGAAGAUUUCCUAUAAUAACAUCUCAACUAUACACACACUUAUCUGCAUCAGCAACACUGCAUGUUUUC
rnacentral:lncRNA from 1 species